CGUUUUCUCAAAAUAAUGCAUGAAGUGAACAUUGUCUCAAAUAAAGGUCUCAAGUGGCUAAUUGAGUCUCAAAUAAGGGCCUAAUCUCACAAACUAGGCAAAUCUUGUCCACAUCCAGGGACAUUCUCGUCCAAAUACAUGUUUUUCUUUCUUCUUUCUCUUGUUUUCUUUUCUUUCUUUUCUUUCAUCUUCCUCACCCGUCCUUCGCUCUCGUUGUGAUGAUCAUACCCCUUGUCAAUGAACUCUUCCAUGGCUUCCUUAUCACCUAGAUUAAUUGUCGGUGGCCGUACAAGUGUGCGAGCUCUUUCUCUUCCUUCGGCUGAGGCUUCAGCGUGCGUCACCCUAGGCUUCAGCGCUGGUCGCACAAGUCGCACCUGGUCGAAUCACUCUUCAGGCAGGGUGCUCGCCUCCGCUUCUCCACCGACAACGGCAAUGGCUUGAGGGUGAAGAUCUUCCACAGCGACCUCAAGCGGAAGCAAUCGCGCAAAAUUUGUUGGAUCGCUUUGUGGUGGGCACUGCGUGGAGUGGAUUCUCUGGACUUGAUUAGAUUGCUUCCACUUUCUUUUGCAAUUCGAUUUGGGAAAAGAGAAAGACAUUAGGGAGAGAGAAUUCAUUUUUCAGUUUGCAUUUGGUUUAGUUUUCUCAAUCAUUGUGUUUAUGAUCAUCACAAUCAGAGCGAAGGACGGGUGAGGAAGAUGAAGAAAGAAAAAGAAAGAAAAGAAAACAAGAGAAAGAAGAAAGAAAAA